UAUCAAACGACUUUCCAAGUUCAAUUAGUUCCUCCUCUGGGCACUCCGUUGGAAAACUCCCAAAAAUACUCAAACUUUAAUUUCCUUCUAGAAAAUCAAAAUUAGAACAAAAAGCUCAGACAGAUUCACGAUCGAAACAACUGGUCAUGGAUUCUUCCAGGUUCAAUAAAUUAACAAGAUUCACAACACUUCAGACCAAACUUACCAGAAAAUCUAAAAUAGAGAAGUGAGGGAAGGAGGGAGGCAAACCAUACAGCUCACAAACACUUCAGACUCAUGCCGAAAACUUGAUUUCAUCCGAGAUUAGUAAGGAGGGAGGGAGGGUUGCGACUUCGGGAGGGUUUGCAUUCCGUCGUGUCUGAGAAAGAUGUCCACUACUUUGGACCGCCUAAAUUAACAAUUGUAGGGGCAUCCCCAACUCGAUUAUGGCGCAUGGCUCGUACUCGAUCUAACUGCGGUAGUCUCAGAUGGCGCCACCGCUCUCCUCGAGAUGAUCCGCCACCGCCAGGAGGUGCGACGUUCGCCGAUCACUUUCAGUGCGAAGCCGUGGAAGAUGGUGGCUGAUUUGAGUAGGCAUGGACGAGAUCAGAGAAAGAUUCAAGGAUACGUGCAAGCUGGGAGGUAGGGAGGGUAGUUGCCCUGCCCUUUUACGCCCGUUGGCUUAAGGUAUAUAUAUAUAUAUAUAUAUAUAUAUAUAUAUAGUGGUCCGCAACUAAACGGCCUUCUGGAAACUAAAAAGAAAAUGAUCGUCCGGCCACAAUAAAGAAAACCAAUUAGAAAGAACCACGAUGACCCAUUUGGGUUUUGGGCGCCGAGGUUUAAGAAUUCAACCUGUAUAUUUCUCCGAUGAUCAAAUGCGCAUAUCUCAAAGCAUCAAAAGCACAUGACAAAACAGAGCAUUAAUCAGGGAUUAAAAAAAAACAUUAAUUCACACUGAACAGAUAGUGGCAAAGUACUUAUAUAUACUGCCAAAAAGGUUCAAGCCCCCCCCCCCCCCCAAAAAAAAACAAACUGGUAUCAUCAACGGCUAGGGGAGGCAGCGGCCGGCGCUGGGCCUUUGAACAGGUCUUUGAAGAUCUUCCCCUUGAUCGUAUUGGCUCGUGGAUGCGGAAGGUUGGCAAAGUUAGAGUCCGUCCGGCGGGGGCGGGGGCGGGGCUCGGAACCUGGACGGUCGCCGGGAUUUUCUCCGUCUUUUUCACUCAUACUUCACUCUCUGCUUCCCACCGGAAUCUGCAGGCUUGGAGUCAAAUCUCUCUCAGGAAGGCUCCAGUGAACUCAUCGCCGUCUCCCAUUUCAUCUCUCCUGUGUCUCCAUCUCCAUUUUCAUCUCCCCUCUUUAGCGUCGCCGAUCAUUGCCCAAUUCUUCUCCAAGUCUGGGCAUUCUUGUGGAUAUUUUUGUUAGUAUGACCCGGAAAUACCACUAUAUGAUGAGAAGAGAUUGAGAGGCGCAAGAGAAAUGUUGAGAGAGUCAUUGCAGUGUUAGUAAUUUCAAUGUCAUGGAUAUUUUG